rnacentral:misc_RNA from 1 species
UUUGACAUCCAGCGUCGGUAGUCAUCCACCCAUCCACUUGCGUGGCAAGGCGAGGCAACAGCCGGGCCGGUUGUCGCAAUUGAGCGGGCCUAGCUCGUCCUACUAGUAUGAGGAUCGGCACAGUAUGUUGCGUAAUCCUACCACUAACUGUGGAGAGGUAGAGGCAACACAUGUUCCGGUUGUUCUCAAAUUCGGAGAGCAUUAUUAGGGUCAGGUCGAGGCAACCAAAAGGGCCACGAGCCUUUAUCAUGAGCAACAUCCGAAACCAACAGCGGGAGCGAGGCUGCCUUGAUAGCACCAGGCACGAAACAUGCCAGCACCAAGAGGCAACGCCGCAAGCGCCAUAUGGCCGCAGCAGCACACCCAAAGGCGUCCACCGCGAGGCAACUGUGUAUGAAGCACCAAUACCCGUAGGUCGGGUAACAUCACGCAAGCACUUGAAAGGCAACAGUAAGAUAGCUCACACGAAUGAAAAGACACGGCGCCGGUAGUCGGCCGCACGAA